AUACAAAGUUGUGGUUCUAUAUAUAAUUUUAUAAACUACUAAAGAAGACUGAGGAACCUAAUUGCUCUCUACAGUAAGAAAUUCAGUAAUAAGAAAGAACAGAAUCACAGAGGAAAAGGUUUUUAAUGGAUACGCGGCAAAAUCAUACGAGAACAAAUUAUCAUCUUUUAUUAUUAAGUCCAAAUAGAAUUACCGCACACAAAUUCAGCCUCAUCAUUCACCAGUUAUCUUAGCCUAGUCUCAAAGCCCUAACUUUUGUUCCGUUUUCAUACAUAAAUUUAUUUAUUUUUUUCAUCGUUUCAACAAUGAAGAUACUUCGCAGGGAUGUCACCUUAAAUGGUCCUGGAAGUGUUAAGAUGACUCCAGAGGAAGCAGAUGAUUUGUGGACUGCUUACAAUUUGGUUGCUAAGAGAGACACUGUUUUAUCUACUACAGUCAGGAAAGUUAUAAGAGAUAACGCCACUGGGGGAAGGGAUUCCGAGCGUAUGAAGCUCAAGCUGGAAAUUAGAGUUGAGUCUGUGGAUUAUGACAAAGAAGGGUCAGUCCUGCGCAUACGUGGAAAGAAUAUAUUGGAGAAUGAACAUGUGAAGAUUGGGUCCUACCAUACUCUAGAAAUCGAGCUUCAUCGACCUUUUGUCGUAAGAAAGGUUUUAUGGGACUCAAUGGCAGUAGAUAUACUCAAGCAAGCCUCUGAUCCUGGUGCAAGUGCCGACCUAGCUGUGGCUUUGAUGCAAGAAGGAUUAGCACACAUAUGCCUUAUAGGCAGAAGUGUGACAACAACUCCUUCACGGAUAGAAGCUUCUAUACCCCGCAAGCAUGGUCCAGCUAUUGCUGGUUAUGAGACGGCUUUGAAUAAGUUCUUCGAGAAUGUUUUACAGAGUUUCCUUAAGAAUGUCGAUUUUAAUGUUGUUCGGUGUGCUGUUAUUGCAAGUCCGGGUUUCACCAAGGAUCAAUUCCAUAAAUACUUGCUUUUGGAGUCUGAAAGAAGACAGUUAAGGCCAAUCAUUGAAAAUAAAUCGCGUAUACUUCUUGUGCACACGACCUCCGGAUUCAAGCAUAGUUUAAAGGAGGUUCUUGAUGCCCCAAAUGUCAUGAAUAUGAUUAAGGAUACAAAAGCAGCACAAGAGGUUCGUGCUCUCAAGGAAUUCUUCAACAUGCUUUCAAAUGAUCCGGAUCGAGCUUGCUAUGGUCCGAAGCAUGUUGAGGUUGCGCACGAACGUAUGGCUGUUCAGACUCUUCUAAUUACUGAUGAUCUUUUCAGAAAUUCGAAUACAGCGACAAGGCAACAAUAUGUGGAAUUGGUAAAUUCGGUGAAGGAUUCAGGAGGCAAUGCUUUCAUAUUCUCUUCAAUGCACGUGUCUGGAGAGCAAUUAGCACAAUUGACGGGGAUUGCGGCUAUUCUACGUUUUCCUCUACCAGACCUGGAAGACAUUGAGAUGUGAUGAUGUUACCAAAGAUUGUUGCAAAAUAAAGUUCUUUCCCCCCUCCUCUCAUAACAUAUGUCAUGAUCAAAUGACAACAGCUGGGGGUGGAUAAUGAUAGUAAUGAAAUACAAGUUUAUGAUUAUUGAAGGAUUGCUUUAUCUCUAUUAUUAUUAUUAUUAUUCAAAAUUUUUUUUUAUUAUAUUAUUGGAUGAAUAUUAUUACAUGAAACUAGUUGGAAGCCUAACAAGCUAAGCUCCAACGACAUACUAAUACAUUAAUUGAACAGGUUGCUGUGCUAAUCUACCAGCGAGCCUCAUGAGUAACCUAGCCAAGGGAGCCGAAACGGCGGGAGGGGAAGCUGAGAUUGUGUCACAAGGGGGGCAAACUAACACUACCUUUCAUGUUAAUUCCUGCAAUAUUACGCCAUUGGGGACUCGAACCUCUGACCUCCUGGAGCGCAUUAAACUUUUGUUACCUUCCAUGUUAUUAUUAUUAUUAUUUAUGGAUGUAAUAGUAUUAAGGUGCUAGAUUCCAGAUUUCUAUCUAUUAGGAAAUUUGUAUACUAUGGUUGAGUCUGCACAACGGGUAGGGUGGGUAGGAUAUGGCCUAUUUCGCCAUCCUGGAUGGCGGGUAAGAAAUAUUUUACCCGUCAUCCUACCCGUCAAAUAGUGGGCAGGAUAGUUUACUCGUCACCCUACCCGUCAAAUAGUGGGCAGGAUAGGAUACGGUUAAAACACUGGGGAUAGGGUAGGGUAGAAAUAGCGGGUAAGGUAGGAUAUGUGCACCCCUAAUUUGAAACAAUGCAGUUACGGUUCAGGGCAGUUGAGAGGAGUAUCACCAAUGAAGUUGGAGAAUAAGUAGCAGGUCAAAAAGGGAUGACAUAUAAAGGUUGCGAGACUAACAACAACAGUUCUGAUGAACAGGUUUUACCGGGAGAGCAGAAUACCUGUGUGCAGGUGGAGGUUUGUGGUGAUGGGUUUAAUGCUUCAGUUUAUGGUCAUGGUUUGACAGGUAUAUGUAAUGCCAGUAGGCAGGUUAUAUAAUACAGAUUCUUCUUAUGAAAACUGUAUAGCCAAGCUGCGACACGUGUUCUUAAUCUUAACGAUGCAAUGCAAACACUAUGUAAAACAAAUAGAAAAUUGAUAGAUUGGAGAACGUAGAAUAUUCUCAGUGCUUAGAAUGAUCAAUGAAAAUACUGCAUCGACAA